AUUGAACGCUGGCGGCAUGCCUAACACAUGCAAGUCGAGCGGCAGCGGGAAAGUAGCUUGCUACUUUUGCCGGCGAGCGGCGGACGGGUGAGUAAUGCCUGGGGAUCUGCCCAGUCGAGGGGGAUAACUACUGGAAACGGUAGCUAAUACCGCAUACGCCCUACGGGGGAAAGCAGGGGACCUUCGGGCCUCGCGCGAUUGGAUGAACCCAGGUGGGAUUAGCUAGUUGGUGAGGUAAUGGCUCACCAAGGCGACGAUCCCUAGCUGGUCUGAGAGGAUGAUCAGCCACACUGGAACUGAGACACGGUCCAGACUCCUACGGGAGGCAGCAGUGGGGAAUAUUGCACAAUGGGGGAAACCCUGAUGCAGCCAUGCCGCGUGUGUGAAGAAGGCCUUCGGGUUGUAAAGCACAUUCAGCGAGGAGGAAAGGUUGGUAGCUAAUAACUGCCAGCUGUGACGUUACUCGCAGAAGAAGCACCGGCUAACUCCGUGCCAGCCGCCGGCGUAAAAC
rnacentral:rRNA from 1 species